rnacentral:rRNA from 1 species
AGAGUUUGAUCAUGGCUCAGGACGAACGCUGACGGUGUGCUUUAGGCAUGCAAGUCGAACGAGAAAGCCCUUCGGGGUGAGUAGAGUGGCGAACGGGUGAGUAACACGUGGGCAACCUGCCCCUCGCAGGGGGAUAACCGGAGGAAACUCCGGCUAAUACCCCGUAAGCUUUCAGGGUCGCGUGGCCCUGCAAGGAAAGGUAGCUUCGGCCAUCCGGCGAGGGAUGGGCCCGCGGUGCAUUAGCUAGUUGGUGGGGUAAUGGCCCACCAAGGCGACGAUGCGUAGCUGGUCUGAGAGGAUGAUCAGCCACACUGGGACUGAGACACGGCCCAGACUCCUACGGGAGGCAGCAGCCAGGAAUCUUGGGCAAUGGGCGCAAGCCUGACCCAGCAACACCGUGUGGGCGAUGAAGGCCUUCGGGUCGUAAAGCCCUGUUGAUAGGGACGAAGGGCGAAGGGUUAAUAGCCCCUAGCCUGACGGUACCUUUCGAGGAAGCCCCGGCUAACUACGUGCCAGCAGCCGCGGUAAUACGUAGGGGGCGAGCGUUGUCCGGAAUUAUUGGGCGUAAAGAGCGUGUAGGCGGUUCGGUAAGUCUGCCGUGAAAACCUGAGGCUCAACCUCGGGCGUGCGGUGGAUACUGCCGGGCUAGAGGACGGUAGAGGCGAGUGGAAUUCCCGGUGUAGCGGUGAAAUGCGCAGAUAUCGGGAGGAACACCAGUAGCGAAGGCGGCUCGCUGGGCCGUUCCUGACGCUGAGACGCGAAAGCUAGGGGAGCGAACAGGAUUAGAUACCCCGGUAGUCC